rnacentral:rRNA from 1 species
GUGGGGAAUCUUGGACAAUGGGGGAAACCCUGAUCCAGCCAUGCCGCGUGAGUGAUGAAGGCCCUAGGGUUGUAAAACUCUUUCGGCGGGGACGAUAAUGACGGUACCCGCAGAAGAAGCUCCGGCUAACUUCGUGCCAGCAGCCGCGGUAAUACGAAGGGGGCUAGCGUUGUUCGGAAUUACUGGGCGUAAAGCGCGCGCAGGCGGUCCUUCAAGUCAGAGGUGAAAGCCCAGAGCUCAACUCUGGAACGGCCUUUGAGACUAGAGGACUUGGGUACGGGAGAGGUGAGUGGAAUUCCGAGUGUAGAGGUGAAAUUCGUAGAUAUUCGGAAGAACACCAGUGGCGAAGGCGGCUCACUGGCCCGUUACCGACGCUCAGGCGCGACAGCGUGGGGAGCAAACAGGAUUAGAUACCCGGGUAGUCC